rnacentral:rRNA from 1 species
CCCUUAGAUGUUCUGGGCCGCACGCGCGCUACACUGACGGAGUCAACGAGUUGUCCUGCAUCGGAAGGUGUGGGUAAUCUUUUGAAACUUCGUCGUGCUGGGGAUAGAUCUUUGCAAUUUUCGAUCUUGAACGAGGAAUUCCUAGUAAGCGUGAUUCAUCAGAUCGCGUUGAUUACGUCCCUGCCCUUUGUACACACCGCCCGCCGCUACUACCGAUUGAAUGGUUUAGUGAGGCCUCGGGACUGGCGCGCUCGAGUAGCAAUACACCUGCGCGCCGGGAACUUGGUCAAACUUGAUCAUUUAGAGGAAGUAAAAGUCGUAACA